rnacentral:lncRNA from 1 species
CUGGGCCGGGCUGAGCUGGCCCGCUCCGGCGCCGGGGACCACGCGCGACUGGUUAGAUCUUGUCGUGAUCUCUGGAAAACUGUGACUAUCUCACAUGUCCUGCCCAGCUCGGAUCCCCUGCGCUAACGAGCCAGGCCCCCCUUGAUUGCUGAUUUUACGCUUUUUGGACCAAUUGUGGGUCUCCGGGGGCGGGGUUUUGACAGCUCAGGCCAAGCUCCGGCCGGGAGGGGGGGCCUGGGAGAAGGUGUCGGAAGCCUCAGCAGUAAGAAAACAUGUCAACAGAAUAAAAUAUUAACCAAUGACGGGCCGCCGGGCCCCGAGACCCCUCCUCCUGCCCCGGCCCCCACCGCCCGCCCGCGCCUGCGGCUGCCUGCGCCGGACUGGAGAGCGCGGAGGGCCGACCUGACCCGCCGAAAGGGCCUGAGGCGAGGGGAGCCCGGGUCCCGGGGCCUUGGGGAAGGACCCGCAGCCGCACGCCGGCCCCAAGUGCAAAGCAUUGACACGACCCCGAGCGGAGAGGGGGCGCCCUCCUUCUCCCGCGCCCAGAGGCCCGGCCGCUCUGGCCCGAGCCCCAGCCUGGCCUCCGACCCAGCUCCGGGUCGUGGCGCCGCCUGGGGGUCCCUGCGCCCCGGAAAGAGACAGCAGGCACUGGAAAGCGAGGCCGGUGGGCGGGCGAGUCGGGAGGCUCGGGCGGCCGAGGUCCGGGAGCGGAUCCCAGGUGGCGGGAGCUGGUGAGUGGAGCCAUGGCCGAGCCCUGCUGGGGCCGGCGCGGGCGGGAGCGGGACGCGGCCUUGCGCUGGGGAAACGCGGGGACCCCCUACCCGCGCCCGCCUUCACCGGAAGACUCGGAAGGAACCUGGAGUUCUCCGCAGGCCCGGGCCCCGCCCUGAGCUUUCCAGCGGCCGGGAGGAGCGGAUCCUCGGGGCCAGGAAGGUGAGCGCACCUUUCGCUGAGCACAGGGCGGCACCGCGCGGGCGGACCCCGGAUUCUCCACCCGCGACCCAACGAAUUUUCGCCCUAUCCGGUACCGGAGACGAAAGUCUCCUUCUUCCGAAAUACCGGCUUCCUCUCUUCGCCCUGCCAACCACUUUUUUAGUUUCUUCUCAUCUCUCGGAAGCGCACGUCUCCUAAGUUAAGGAGUGCUGAGUAACGCGUGAGGGAGUUGGGGUGUCUGCGAGCACCUGUGAUUGAAGCCCCCUCUUCUGUGAUCAGUCUUCGUUUUCUGUCUUCCGGCAGCCUCAGUUUCCCCCCCAUGAAGUGAUGGUGUGUGUGUGUGUGUGUGUGUGUGUGUGUGUGUGUGUGUGUGUGUCGGGCCCCGUGUGGUGCCCUCUGUGCGCAGCGAGAGCUAUAACUCAAGGUGUGCACGGGGAGAGUGAAGCGACCACGCACCUGCUUCCAAUCGGGCUCGGGCGCGAACACUCAGGCUGAUUCCUGAAGGUCGUUUUCUGAAGGAAAAGACAGAGCAUGCACUAGCCACGGGUGACAUUCCCACCCGUACAACCGCGUGGUGGGCGCGUACAUCCAACAUUGACCCAUGCAGGCGCCCGCCCACUGCGCACACCGGUCGCAGGGCACUUCGUUGUUGAACGUUGGGAGCAGCGUUUGAAGGCCGGAUCUCUCCUGGCAGUGCGGAUUCGGGACCGGCGGAAGCAGUAUGGCCUCUGCGACCGUUAUCCCUACUUUUCGGGGCCGACCCCAGGGCCCUCACAACUCCUCAUCACCGCAUAUGUGAGCGCCGCCCCCACAGGGUUUUCUCCACGACCUCGUUCUUGGCUAGGUCGCACCUCUCUUAGUACCUCCUCUCUGGCCAGAACGAAUCUUUGACUCCGAGCUGCGCAGUCUACGCAGACGGGGCAGGAUCCACUGCAGUUUUCCACAGGCAAAUACCUGCUGGCUCCACCUUAGGCGAGAUGUGGCCUCUCGGGGAGGGACCCGUUGUGGACACGUUUGCGCAGCCGGUGCCCUGGCAGGAGGGACUGGCUUAUGCCACCCUGUGCAGGAUCGUCUUCUCAGCUUACAGAGCCUAGUGUGAUUCAACAACCCUCCAUCUCUGCCCCCAACAUGCCCAACUGAUCUGGUGGAGGGAACUGAAGAUGAAGGCCUCUCAGGCACCAUGGAUGGGAUGGGUGUGUGUGAAGGGGGCAGGGUCCCCAGGAGCUGCCCCAGGUCUGGCUGGACAGUUGCACGGGAAGUCCUGUUUGUGAACUCAACGUUUCCACGGCUUUUCCAUUAAACUUUACCCCAAAUCACACCUGGCUCUGUGGGUUUCCUUCCAUUCUCCAAGGCCUCCCUGGGGUCUCUGGGAAGUGUGGGCCAGGGAAGGGGGCAAAGGACUAGCAUUCGUCUCCUUCCUGCUCAAUGCACCAUUUUUUCUCCCUGUUCCUGUCUCUGUUGCCACUUACUUUAGGUCCGGAAGUGGUGGUGGUGGGGCGGGGGGACAAAAUCAGGAACGUGUCAUCUGAGGGUUCCGGCCAGGUUUCAUGAGAUACCCACCUUCACCUGACCACCCUUCCAUCUUCUGAGUUAAAAAGAGGCAAUUACAACAAGGUGCCCCCCAGAUGAGGCUUUGCCAGACUCUCCCCUUGACAGCAACCCACCAGCACAUGGCAAGCCCUGAUCCCCAGGGAGGAGGGUCCAACCCU